rnacentral:rRNA from 1 species
UUGUAAAAGUAAGUCUUGACUGCCAGUGACUAUUAACGGCCGCGGUAUUUUGACGUGCGACUAGCGCAAUCACUUGUCUUUUAAUGAGACUGUAUGAUGUGCACGAGGCUUGACUGUCUCCGUCGAGUCAUGAAUUGAUCGGCCCGUGCGGAGCGGACUAAGUACAAGACGAGUAGACCCCUUUGGGAAGCUUAAGAUACAGAUCAACUAUGUCAGAACCAAAAAGUUAAACUAAUAGCACUGUCCCUAUCUCGGUGGGCGACCGCGGAUGAACAAGCUCCCUGCGACGGGGCAACCUAACCAAAUGAGUUCUAGUCCAAAUCGACUUAAAUCGCACACGCACAGACGUUCCCGGUAACGAUCAUCGAUGCUCGCAAGGUUAACCGUUGUCAGACCUAGGACCCCUAGUCGUGUGCAAACCAUAC